UACCUUAUCCAUAUCUUAUCUUACCUUAUCCAUAUCUACAAUCUCUCUUCAGUGACAAUAAAUACAGACUCUGCUUGAAAGCCAGAAUUGAGAUAUUCCUGAACAUUGAAGUCUACCAUGAAUCGUUGGGCAUUUGCUCUCCUUCUCCUUGCUUUAGUAGCAGGAGUUGUUGGUAAAACAGAUGGAACAGAAGACGAACUUACAAGCUGUGGAAAUGGAGGAAUAGGGAAAUGCUUUCCAGGCAAUCUGUGCUCUCCACUUUGGGUUCCAAUUGAUGGAAUAUGUCGUCCUAACGAAAUAUGCUGUGUCAUACCUAGAAGACGUGAUUCAACAAUGUGAGAAUAUGCUGACUGAAAAAAAAUUGCUGAAACCGUUUGGCUACAAAUUACAUGAUAUCUACAGUUACUGAGGUUUCUGCUGGGAUACACACUUAGUUUUCUUUCUUGCUUAAGAAAAGCUGCUGAGAUGUAUACUUAGUUUUUCCUCUUAUUUUAUAAAAGUUCCCUCACUGAAGGCAAAAAUGCAUAAUAUAAAGCUAAAAUCAAUUCCAAGUAAUCUGUCUUCAUGAGUUAGAUCAUCCGGAUACUGUUAACUAGUUUCAGCUAAGAUCAUUCAAUGUAAAUGAGAAACAUUCUUGCAUCCAAAUGUAGAAAUGUUUUUUAACUCAUGCUUAUAGAACCCUUGCCAGUAAAAGUCUUCAUUUAGCAUAUCUUUGCUGUGUCAUUGCUUUAAGUAUAAAUAGAUAUUUUUAUAAAGGUGAUGAUUAAAGAAAUGCUGUAUGAUCCAGCUAGCAAAGUUUUGAGCAAAACCCUUCUUAAGAGAUAUAUGCACCUUGUAUUAUUACCUCCAAUAUCAUUAUUUUUCGCCAGCAUUACUAAGAACUGUUGUUUUCCCAGCACUGUUGUUUUCUUUUCACUGUAUACUAAACUACUCUCAAUUCUA